rnacentral:rRNA from 1 species
AACGUAGGAGACAAACGUUAUCCGGAGUUACUGGGCGUAAAGGGCGUGUAGGUGGUUUCGUAAGUCUGGCGUGAAAUUUUUCGGCUUAACCGGGAAAGGUCGUCGGAUACUGCGGAACUAGAGGACGGUAGAGGCGUGUGGAAUUCCGGGUGUAGUGGUGAAAUGCGUAGAUAUCAGGAGGAACACCGAUGGCGAAGGCAGGUCUCUGGGCUGACACUGACGCUCAUGCACGAAAGCGUGGGGAGCAAACAGG